GACGAACGCUGGCGGCGUGCCUAACACAUGCAAGUCGAGCGGGGUUGAAGCGAGAGGUAACUCGAACUUCUACCUAGCGGCGGACGGGUGAGUAACGCGUGGGCAACCUGCCUCAAGGUCUGGGAUAACAGCCCGAAAGGGCUGCUAAUACCGGGUAUGCUUGUGGCCUCGCAUGGGGCUAUGAGCAAAGGGGAAACCCGCCUUGAGAUGGGCCCGCGUCCCAUCAGCUAGUUGGUGAGGUAACAGCUCACCAAGGCGACGACGGGUAGCCGGCCUGAGAGGGUGACCGGCCACACUGGGACUGAGACACGGCCCAGACUCCUACGGGGGCAGCAGUGGGGGAUCUUGCACAAUGGGCGAAAGCCUGAUGCAGCGACGCCGCGUGAGCGAAGAAGGCCUUCGGGUUGUAAAGCUCUGUCUGGAGGGACGAAGGAAGUGACGGUACCUCCGGAGGAAGCCACGGCUAACUACGUG
rnacentral:rRNA from 1 species